UCUGCUUGGAUGAAGGGUGGCUGAGCAAGGCAGCUGACAGGAUGCAAAUAUCACCUAGACUAAAUGGCAAUGAGGAUUUUUGAUCUCCUGAUUGGACAAAAUGUCAGAGGCAUGCAGUGUACGAGUGAUCUUGUUCAAUGCUGAAGGGGGGGAUGGCUGCAUGUGCACUUUCUCCUCCACUUGAUACUGCUUUUAAGACCUUUGCAUUGGAGAUACUGAGGUUGCCACAGUGUUCCAGGUCAUGCAAUUGGAGUGCUGCAACAUGCUCCACUGGGGACAGAGCCUGCAGCUGAAAGCCACUAGAAGAACCCAGCCAGGGCAACUGUGAUAUCCCUUUUUUUCCGUUGCCUCCUAUGACUUUUCAGGAGCAGGAACCUUGCACCAGACAGCCCUGUCCACCUGCCCCUGGUUUGCGUGCUGUAUUGGAGUCUGCCUUGGCCCCCGAAGCUGUGUCAGCUGGCAUUAGUGGUCUAUGCCUCUGGUUUUAAGGUCCAUAUCCCAUGGUCCAGGGUAGGACCGUAGGCAGAGAGCUCCCUGCAGAGCUUGUGCAGUGUGCACAAAGGAUUGAUUUUUCUCUGGCUGGCUGAAGAGGUUACUCAGGUGGUAGGAGUCCAUGAGAUCUGCAUGGAUGUGAAUUGUUUGCUCCUGUGAAGAAGAUGUUCCAGUGUUUCAUUUCCUCUCUGCUUUUCACCACUGCAGCUAAAUACAAGCCAGGUUUCCAAGAAGGAUGACCAAUCUACCUUGUUGCUGCGGAGACAAGGACUAGCUCCUCAGCUGGUGGUUUCUGGACUGUUGGUGGCCACACAUCUGUGUGAAAAGUAGUGGAAGAAGCUUCUUUCCCUGCUCUUCUGUUGGCAGGGUAUGAACAUUGGCAAGAGAAGCAGAACCUGGGCCAGACUGGGCUGUCUUUUGUAACUCUCACUUCAGGUAACUGCGCUGCAUCUGAAAUCAGUGUGGCAGGUGUAUGGUGUUCCUGGCAUUAGACGGUCUGCAAGGGGCUUAAGAACAGCAGGGCAGAAAAUAUGGAAUGAUGUCCCAUUAUGUAGGCAGUGGCAGGCUCAGCAGCCAUCUCUGGUGUCAUUUGUUCUCUAUAGCCAGAAGUUUUAUUUACUCUCUAGGUUUAAAUAACUUUUGGUAGCAGCAUCCAUGAUAAUCCGUUGAUGCAAGUCAUUGGCUUUUCUAGCAGGGGAAAUACAUUGGACUAGCCAGGUUGCCUUCUGUGAUACCUGUCAGUUUAGAUUGUAUGACCUUUUAGCGAGCUCUGAACCUCACCAGUCUAAAUCAUGUGUCUUUGUAAGGCUUCACAAUUUCAGAGUUCUUUCAGGUGAGAAAACUAACUGAAAAAAGUUGGCAAAUACUUCACUUAAGGGUAAGUAAACUUGGAGGAGAAAUAUAUCUUCUGCAUGGAUUUUCCUGUACUGUUCAACUUAACUUCCUUUAGAUGUCUUUUGCUGAAAAUGUUCACCCCUAAAGCAGCCCUUUAUCUUUUCUACCUCUGCAUUUGACUGGUUCUCAGAGAUGAAGAUCUGCGAAAGGUAAUUAAAUUAAAUCUUUUUUUCCUAAUUGGAUUGAGUUGGUGCCGUUUUUGUCCAUUUCUUUCAGGCUUCACAAUGUAGAAUCAACUAUUUCCUCUUGGAUUUCAAGUCUCCUAUUUUCAGUCACAGCACCAAUGUGCUAUAUUUCACAUUCUCAUCCUGGCAGUUCCUGUUUGCUUUUUCCAAACUACAGCAGUAUCCAUAUUUCUCAUUCUGAGGAGAGAUGGUCCCUCUGUCUGUUGCCUUUUUUAUAAGAACUUAAAAAAAAACUCUUCAGGUCCUGUUUUAUUUACUAUAACCACGUUUUGCUCUUCUCUGGGGCUUUUGGCUUGCUGUUAGCUGUAGCUGUGGGACAGAGGGGAGCAUCUGCCAUUUUCUGCCUUUGCACAGCACCUGGCUGCUCUUGCACUCUGCUGUUCCCACCAAGGGUGAAGGUUUGGUUUAGUUCCUCCAUGGCAUGUGCAACACCCUGCUCAACAUGGGGGUGGCAGAAGUGUGGACAACGAAUUUGCAGUGUCUUCUGAUCCAAGAGCACCUACUGCAGUGCAAAUGGGUGCCAGGGGAGAUGCAACUUCUUUUGCUCCCUUUCACCACCUUAGCUUUCCCAAGGAAUGCUUUAUCUCCAGUCUGAGUCACCAGUCCUGGUACAGGUCACUUAGAGUCACGGCACAUUUAUCAAACGUGAAUGGUGACAAUUUAAGUUUAGCAUAAUUGCGACAAGAAGGGUUUAGUCUCCAGUUGCUAAUGGUAUCACCAGGCCAACAAGACCCCUGGCUACUUCUUUUAUCGGAAAGUGGAAAUGCUUACCAAACCAUUUGCCACCCUCAGGGGGUCAGAAAAUUUACAACCCUUAAUAAAAAUGAUACCACAUUAUGUCUCAGGAGCAUGUGUUGCCUCAUCCUCUGCCUCUGUUACAGGCUGGGCACACUCUAUUGGAAAAUAAAAAAGUGUUCAGAGAACCCAUAUUACCAUCAGGGCAGAAAGUUCCCCAUUUUAACUGACCAUUGCAACAACUCUCAUACUUUACUACCCCUGUAAGAAAAAUGAAGAUUCCCAUUCACAAGAGUUCUAAAAUCUAGAAACCCAAAUGUAUGUUGUGGAGGAAAAAUAGGGGAGGGGGACAAAUAACAAAGUACUUAAUUUAAAAAAAAAAAAAAGUGAAGAAAAAAAGCUGUUCUCAGCAUCUACCACAGAGUACCCUUAUUAUCUUUGGGGUUAGGCACUUCAAGGGGAAAGAGGCUUAUCUGCCCUGCUCAGCAUUAGCAGUGUUACUGGUAUUUCUGCGCUUAUCAAUGUAUCAGCUCUCAGUUAUGUGAUGGAGUUAUCCACCAGACCAACCCUGAUAAAGCAGAAGGUAACUAGAGGCAAGGCCAGGCUGUAACAUUCUUGUGCACGAUGAGUUUUCCUAGGUUUUUCAUCUUCUUUUUCCAUUGCAAAGCAGAGAUGAGCCUGGUAUUUCAGAGAACACUGCACAGGAAAGUAUCAGAGGAAGACAGUGGCACCUCACCUGCUGAGGAGCCCAUAUCCCAGCAAAGAUCUAGCAAAUUGCUCGCUUUCUUCUGUUUUACCUUUUCACCUGUCACAACCUUGCUGCAACAUGGAGAAAAAGGGAUCCUUGAGGAAGUGGCCUGGUCACUUCCCCAGCAUAGCAGUUCUUCUCCAAGUACUACUUCAAGCACACAUCCUUCCAGGAGCCAGGUGGUUUUAGCUCCAGACUAAAUCUCACUGCACACACCAUGUUAGGAUUGUCUCACAGAAGGAUGGAGAAAUUCUUCUUAUGAUAUAGGAAAAAGUUAACAUUUUUUUUUCUACUUGCAUACAUUACAGUGAUUUUUUUUUCCUGAGAACUUAAUCUUCUAUAUUAAAUUAAGUCGAAUAAUCCUCUUGUCACUCUAAAAAUAAUUACCAUAGAUUUUUUAAAAGAACAUAGGAAAUAGAAGAUUUUUUAAUGCCCCAAACCCAGAUCUUUUCUUUCAAGCAUUAUUUUAAUGAGAAAAACAGUGUUAGAUUUGAAACUGCAAUUAAGAUGAGAGUGCGGAAAUGACCAGUUUUAUUUUUUGACUAUAUCUGUUGUUGUCAAUGCUGCUAAUAGGUUCCACAGCCGCUAGUAAUAAUUGGUCUAACACCAGAUAAAACUAGAUUUUCUUUUAGGCAGAUAUAUAAAAAAAUAAAAGAGAGAGAAAAGAAAUAUACGGAGAGUAAAAUCUCCUUGGUUUUGAAGCAUAAGAACUCCAGAGACAAGGAAUCAACUCCUCCAGGUCUCAUUUCAGUAUUUGAAUGUUCUCCCCUAAUUUCUGUCAUCAGCCCAAGCUCUGUCUCCUCCAGCCCAGGCUGCCCUUCUGACGCACCAAGCACAGAUAUAGUCCCAGUGGGAGAGGAAGCAAUGACCCUUAAUCAGCAAUAUCCCUUUGCAUCUCUUAGAAGAAGCAGCACUAAUUUUGGUAGUUUUCCUUGUAAGAGAUACUUAUUUUCCUGUGCUCUUUGGCACAGAUCCAUUAACCAAAUGUACUUUAAUGUCAGAUGCAUGACCAUUACAAAAUACAAAAUACAAACUGAACUAACAUGACAAGGUUACUGAUUGCAAAGACAUGCAGGGUCAGGGUUUUAAUCCCCACUGGAUGAAACUCUCUACUCCCUGUGCUUAGGCGUUUUCUGCAUUGGCACCAUAAGCCCUUAAUGGAGCUUCCCAGUGCAGUCCUCAGAAGGGAACCGAUAAAACUGAAAUAACUGUGACUGGCACCAGUGCGCUUGUCCUGGCUAUAGACAGGGCUACUCUUCAGACCAGCUAAGGCCCGAAUGUUUGCGUAAAUCAGGACAGCAGGAAAUGACCCAAUAUUUGUAGAGUGCAUUUUGAAUUGUAAAGUUUAUUUUCUCCUCUAAACUCUCUUGUUUUCAACUGUUAAACUACAAGGAUCUUAUUAUACUGUUACUAAUAUUUCAACAGACCUGAAAAGUACCCUAAUUGAGAUCAGUUCAUUUUGCUUAUACAGUCCUUGCUGCAUUACCUUGCAAAAUGGCUGAAUUGAACAGGUUUGAACAAUGACUCAACAUACCUGUUGCUUUCCAGUGUCAGGAUGUCUUGGUUUAUUCCCCAGCCAUGGCUAAUGAUGUCUCCAACAUUGUCUGCACAGCUCUGGGAUUUGUUUGCUUGUUUGCUUAUAGCACCAGCUUCAGCAAGAGGCGGGAGCAUGAAGCAUCACACAGCUGAUAUAAAGAGAGCAAGUGUCUUUUGUAAUUCCUUGUAGCUCUUUCAAGUACAUCCAUUUAUUUGACACUGAUGCUGUUGUAUAUUUUAACCAAACACACACAAACAAAGAACCCAGUCCUGAAGCCUUUGCUUAUUCAGUGUCUGAGAAAAGACUUCCAGAUGUUCCUUAUAGAUAUUUAAACUCUUUUAAUCUAAAUUUGAAUUUUGGAUCUAAAAAUCAGUGAGUGUAGCUCCCUACCAGAAUCUGAAGCCUGAUCUGGAGAGAAAGUUUAAUGAUCAUGUUGAUGCCCGCUAGCUGAAGCUCUCCUGAGAUAUUUUCACAUCCAGGAGAGGAUGCCAGUUUUGUACUCCAAUUACUUUUAAGAUAUUCCUAAGCCUCAUCCCGCAGAUUUAUUGAAGUGAAGGAUGAGUGGCAAUAUUCACAUCACUUUUGUAGAGAAAAGUCUCUAAAUGCAGAAGCAAAUUUCCCUGCUUCUCAUGCCAUCAUCUAGAAUCUCCCAUGAUUUACUGUCUGUGUGGUAUCACUAUUAUUCCAAUCCAUCACAAACUCUAACCAUGCUUGCGGGUCUGUUUUACUCCUUUAUCUUUUAACUAGAUGUACACAAAUGAAUACUGACUUCAGGUCUAAUAACCAAUUUACACAGAUGCAAAUGGGUUAUUGUGCCUUUAAUUUGCAAGCAUGGUUAAUGUAAUUUAAAGCAUUUCUGCUUUUUAGCCACACAGCUGCAUAUGGCUUUUAAAAAGAAUGAUCUUCCUGAAGGAUUUUUCUCCACUAAUGAAAAUAAUGAUUGAACAUCAGGUAAAGAGCCACUCUGCAGGCAAGAAAGUGAUAUUCUUGUAAAAUGAGGUAUCUUAUACAGGUUGGUAGUUGCAUGGUCUGAAUAUAACCCUAUCACCAAACAGACCUGCUUUUUGCUGACUGUUUUGACAUACAGUCCUUUCUUUUGGGUGAUGGAGGGGAAUGUAUAGGACAAACAUGUUCAUAAAUAUAACAUUCCUCAUUUAAGUGAUCUUUCCAAAAAGUAAGAACUUUCCUAAAAAUACUUUAAUCCUAUAUAAUUUAUUCCACUUCCUGUGUAAAAGCAGAAACAGCUUAAAAAUUUCAAUAAUUUUGUGUAAAAUAUUCCUGAGCUAGUCAUUCUUAUGCUGGUUUUCCACUUGAUGCAAUAUGACAUCGUGGAGAUACCUUAUCAUACUCUGAAAGCUGACAUUAUAAGGCACUACUGAAAAUAUUGCAGAGCUUUGCAUAGCAAAGAGCAUUCAGCCAAGUAGCUAGUGAACAUCCUGUGUUUUUAAACACAGAUACCUUUGCUGCUUCAAUACUACUAGAAGUUUGGGAGACAAGCAUCUAGCCCAUAAUAUUUAUAUCAUUCUUAACUGUCACGGGGACAAAGAAAUCCAAAAUUGAAAGGAAAAGGGAAAAAAGGAGAAAAAGCAGUCUAGCUGGGAAAGCUUCAGGGUCUCAAUUCUUGCAUAUUGUCAUUUUUACCAUGGUCAAAGUCUCUUUUAAUGAAGGGCUGAGUGAACAAACAGAAAGAUGUCCCCACUUUGGAGAGACUACAGGCUAAUCAGAUCUACUCUCUCAAUACAGGCGAGCACUUGCACAGUGUGACAGCAAAGGUGGUGUCACCAGCACAUCAGUGCCCAUGGAGCUGGGGCUGCCACUGCAGCUGUGCUGCGCGGGCUGCUCCUGAGCACACUACCCCACUGCACAGCAGCCCCUUUUCUGAUGGAGCAGCUCAGCUGCAUGGAGCACACUGGGGUCCCACCGCAAGGGAGAGACAGUUGCUGUGUCAGCACACACAUGUUAGAUACCAGCCCAGCUAUUAGAAAAUGCAAAGCAUCAGGGCUUGCACGGUCUUACGCACAGUGCAGCAGGCUGAGCAGUGCUGAUGCACUAGCUUGUGUGGUCUCCCAUCACUGGGAAUAGCUUUUAACUGGCUAUCUCACUUACAAAAGCAUUUAUAAAACUGCUAAAUACCAGAAGUGCAGCCUGCCAGUAUCUUGGUUAACAGAGGACUAACUUCUCACCACAUCCACUACUGGCACAAGAUCUGUCAAAACACACAGUAUUAAAAAAAAAUUAGGGAUAAUCUUUAUAAACAGUUGGUUUUGAUAUAAGAUGUGGGUUGGAUUUUUUUAUCUUUCUGCAUUGUGUAAAACUUGAUAUUUAAAUUGUGGCUUCAUUAGGGAAGGCUGUACUUUCAGAUACCUCACAUUUUCAAAAAAAAUGUCAAGCUUUCCUGCCUGGUUUUCCUGAAGCCUUUGGAAUUGGAUCUGAAUUUCACACAGAUUCAGAAAUAGUGUUUAUGUAGAUUUUUAAAAAAUAGGUUUUAAAACAUCUCCCAGUGGCUAAAUCCCUUGCUUCCUGAUGAUAAGGAAACACUUUUUUUUUUGCUAGCAGUUUACUGCUGUUUUCAUAGCUUUGUAAACCUAAGCUUUAAUUUUUCUUCCCAUUUGUGUUUAUGUUCAAAGGUAUUAAAGUUGAACUAUUGUAAAAUUAAUUUCUUUGGGAAACACAGCAUUAUUUUUCUCCCAUCCCUGAUGUUCAUAUUGCCACUGAGGGGAGGAAGAGAGAUGGAACGGGAGAGGUCUCUGAAUGUUGUAGUAGACCACCUGCUUGUUUUCUUUGCUGAUAAAGAGAGUUAUUCCUUCAAAGUGGAGUGGAACGAUGGCUUGGGACCUUGGCUGUAAAUAACAUCUCACAUGGCUGCACUAGGAGAGGAGUCGAUAUCAUACUUUGUGGGCCACUGAGUGUCUGGGAAUGAAUGAUUUAUCAUCACGUUUAGAGGAGGCUGAACAAGCAAAAGAGUUUUAUAUUCUGAAAACUCAAACCUUUGGAGAAUGUCUUAUAUAUUCUGUGCUAAUAAGAAGUGUAGUAAAAUAUUACUCUGAAGAUUUGCCCAGACACAUAAACACAUACAGAUGCAAAUUUGUAUAAAAUGCAUUGGAAGAGAGGAGGUAGAGUUGGAUGUGAAUGCAAAAAGGAAAAACUAAACACAGUUGGACUGUUGUAGCUAGAAAAUUAAUUAGUACUGCAUUUUUCUGCCAAACACAGAACAUGCAUCUCACUUUUAAUUGUCUCCUGAGCCAUGGAUAUACAGCUAAAUAGAUGUGAUAAAAGGUCAGGGGUUUUAUGCUCCAAACUGAAACAAUAAAAAAGACACAAUUAAUUGUCCCAAACCUUUUGCAUCUCGUAAGGAGGGCAAAUAAGGCAACUUCAGUGUGGUAGUUUAGACUUGAUCCUGUCUCAUAUAGUUCAGGGACAUACUGCCCUUUCCCUGUCCCACCUAAACAUUUACAAACUCUUUGCUCAAACACUUUCCAGGUAGGGCAGGGGGUUAGAGUACACCAGAGCUCACAGUGAUGCUGGUGAGCUUCAAACAAUUUACAAAUCUAUCCAUCUUAAUUAUCAAAGUCUUCAAACUUUUAUUUCUCUCUUGAGGCCUGCUGUUUUCUCAAAAUCUGAAUCUAAUAAAUCCCAUUCCUCUACCAGUAAUGACAAACAGGGGAAAAAAGCAGUGCUGUGAAAAAAAAUAAGAGUAAAGGACCAAACUCCACAAAAGCAUCUGAGACUAUAAGAAUUUACCCUCCCUGCAGACAGACUUACCCCUACCUGCAGAGGGUCCAUAGGUAAUCUGUGAAAACCAUGCUCUGAUUCUUCCAGUUCCUCUUGAGGGCUCCAACUCUUCUUUCCCUGAUGACCAUCUCAGAGGGCAAGUCUCAUGCCUGGCUACCUUGUCUAGCCUGUGCAGCAGCCUUCUCUCUUCUCCAUGAUGUUAAGCCUUCCCCUUUCUACUGCCUCCCAAGAGGGCUUGCUACCCUCUCCCUUCCUCCUCCAACUUGUGCCCAUCCUUCCCUGGCCACAAGUGAUUAGUGUUUUCAUCUUUGGCAGUAGCAGCGAUGGCAAAUACCUUUUUCUGUUUCACCUUCCUGGCACUGGAAGUAGCUCAUUGCCAUCCUGCUGGGCUGUAACUCAUUUUGUUGUGCUGCCAAGGAAGAGUAAGUUUUGGUAGACUCUGUGUCAGCUACAUGGCAGCACUCAGGGCUUCUUCAGCUCCAAACUGCUCCCAGUAAAAAUGAUUUAUGAUGGACAUCUUUUCCCAAGGUAGUUUUGAAGAAAUGACCCUGAUAUCUGUAUCUAUAUUUUUAUGGACACAUACACAUAUAAAAAGCAAUGCUGACUUUUUUUUAAAAAAAUAUUAGGCAUCUCUGUGCAAUGAAUACAGAAUUUUUCCUUUUUUUUUUUUUUAGUGCGGUCAUAUUCCCUGGAUUAAAUUUCAACAUUACCUUACAGCAUUUAACUUACCCUGUUUAGUGUUGGAGUGGUGUAAUACUGAGAUAAUAUUACAGAAAUUUGAAAUCAAUAAGUUUUUUAUCCAUUUAAAGAGCUGCUCAGAUUUCUCCUAAAGUUAGGAAUCAUGCACAAGUUAUAUCCUCUGGAAAAGGAGCAGACAUUUCACUGCUGUCUCUUUACUCCUCAUUUUUUUUUGCAAAAUACUCCUCCUUUCACCUUAAUAAAUAUAAGAAUUAAUGAAAGCUUUUUUUUGCACCUGGAUAUUAUUUUUAUAUAGCCAUCAAAAGGAAAUGUGAACAGGACUGACAAUUCAUUUAUCUUUGUGUGUUGUCGUUUAACCUCAGCUGGCAACCAAGCCUCACCCAGCUGUUUGCUCACUCCCCCUGUGGGGCGGGGGAGAGAAUCAGAAGAGUAAAAGAAAGCUUGUGGGUUGAGAUAAAGACAGUUCAAUAGGUAAAGCAAAAGCUGUACACACAAGCAAAGCAAAACAAGGAAUUCAUUCACUACUUCCCAUGGGCAGGCAGGUGUUCAGCCAUCUCCAGGAAAGCAGUGCUCCAUCAUGUGUGACCACUACUUGAGAAGGCAAAUUGCCAUCGCUCUGAAUGUCCCCCCUUUCUUUCUUCUUCCCCCAGCUUUAUAUGCUGAGCAUGAUGUCAUAUGGUGUGGGACAUCCCUUGGGUCAGUUGGGGUCAGCUGUCCCAGCUGUGUCCCCUCCCAACUCCUUGUGCACCCCCAGCCCAUUUGCUGGUGGGGUGGGUGAGAAGCAGAAGAGGCCUUGACUCUGCGUAAGCCCUGCUCAGCAGGAACAAAAACAUCCCUGUGUUAUCAACACUGUUUCCAGUACAAAUCCAAAACAUAGCCCAGUACUAGCUACCGUGAAGAAAAUAAACUCCACCCCAGCCAAAGCCAGCACAGUCUGAGAGAAAUGCAAAGUAAAGAAUUUGUAGCAAGUUGUGUUCACAUCAUAAUAAAAGGGCAGCAAGAAGCCCUUUACCAGCCAGUGCAAUUUUUUUGCCUCUUUUCAAAAUCAGUUUCUCAUUGUGUGCCUACAAAUCCACCUGCUCUGAAUAUGCAUUCAAAGAGAAAGAAAACAGGACAACUUUGAAAGUAUAUUACAUAGGGAUUUGGAAAAAGUACUUUAUAAUUACUUGGAGAUUUCGUCAAAUUGGACACUGUAUUCUUGUGCAUUUCAAUAGGGUAUAAGAAUGCACUUGGCUGAUGACCAUGGAAAAGGGAAGCCAGCAUGACACUAGCAUGGUACAUAGGUCCACUCUUGCUUGUAGCAGUAUCAGUGUGUAUCCGUCCCCAGUGAAGGUGUGACUGCCUGCAAAGGCUGUCAUCUACAGAGGGCCAAAGAACAGAGAAAAUUAUGACCCUGAGACAGAAAUGAUUCAUAUAUGCUGUGAUUAGAUACUGUUACGUGGAUAGGAGCAUAAGAUGAAGGGGCUGAAAUUAAGAUUUGGAAGAGCUAGUUCUCCUACCCCAUCACAGGGGCUUCUCCAUCAUGCUUGUAGGAUGGAGAUUAUUAGCUGUCUAAUGUGGGUGACACUACAGAUUCUAAACCAUUGUUUAAAAAUAUCAUUUUUUUCUACAACAAUUUGGAGGAAAUGGCCCAAAUCUAUCUGCCCCAACCUGCUCUGUCCCACCCACUCAAAUACACUAGGUACAUUAGUUCUCACCGCCACAGUCAGGGGCUACAACUUCACACAUGCAUCUGUGUGACACUCCUGGCUCAUCCUGAGUUGGAAGAAGGCCCCAGUGGAGUUAGCCCAUAUCAAGUGCCCUGAAAGCCUUUUCCUGCUAAGAUGGUUGAGUAAAGGAGCCACUCAAUUCCUUUAGCAGGCCUCGCACGCUCUGAACUUACUAAUCAGAACAAAUGUAAAUAAUAAUAUUUAUAUAAAAAGUAGCCAGGGUUUGUAACAGGAAUGGAAGAGAAAGGUUGAGGGAAGAAGCAUCACCAAAGAAUUAGUUAUGGGCAUGAACAAGGCAGGUUUUUUAAACACAAAUGCUAUAGUGCCCACUAAGCACCUGCCAGAAAAUUUCAAAUAAUCAGCGAUGAAAGGUGAAUCAUGACAGUGAAUAAAACAGGCUCUGCAUACCACGCCAAGCUGGUAUUUCCAUAAUGUCCAACUCAAGGAACAGAUCCCCACCAUUACUGUUUACCUAAACCAAAGGUUUAUGUGGUUCUUUGUCCUGGAGAUAAGAUACAGUCUCUGCACAGAAGGGUGUUAAACUAAAGACUCACAAAACUUCCGGUCCAAAGGCAGGGAUAAAACCAAAACCAUUGUUGAGUCCAAGAUAAAAAAGAUUUUUGGCAUUCAGUUUGGCAGCAUUAGCAUGUGGUAUCAGGAACACUUUCUUCCUACUCUCUGUCUCUCAACAGCAGCACAAGUCAGAUGUGGACGUAACAAUGCUUCAGUGGAAGCAACGCUGUGUUUCAUGUGCUCUCUCUCUCUGGCAUUUCAUUUAAUUUGCAAAAAUCUGACAACUCUAACCCACCAUUAAAAUGUGUAAUAACAAUGACAACAAAAAAGCAUACUUUGAGGGAGCAUACACAUGUAAAUGCAGCUGAUGAAGAAACGUAAGUAGAAUUUCUGACUCAUGAUGAAGAGAUUGAAUAAUCUGGUCAGACAGUUUUAGUAAUUUGUCAUUUAUUCAUUAACUUGUACUAUAGCACGCUCCUAUUUAUUUUGAGUGUAAUGGCAAAGUACAGCUGCACAGAAUGCAGGCAGAGAGCUAGCUAAAGCAUAGUUUUAGGACAGAUGGUAUCCUAGAUUUGUAAGAAGGCAUUUCUAUAAUUAACAGUGGACUCACCACAUCUAAAACAUUCACUCGUGUAAUGUGCCUUCAUGUAUUAUCAGGGUUAUACUAAAGCCUAUCAAUUACUUUGCAGAAUUCAUAAAAAUAUAGACAUCUAAUAUAUUUGGAGAGUAAAAGGUGAGUCAUUAGCUGCAUGUUUAUUUAAAAAAUUUAACUUUAUAAAUAAGGCUUUUUCCCCAGGCUAUAAUUUCUAAUUAUGCACCUAUAUAAAUUCUUGCUAUGGUAUUAACAUUUCAUAAACUACAAAGGCAGUUUUCAGUCUGUAUGGAAUAUUGUAGAAAAAUUUCAGUGCAAUGCAACUUAAUAGCAUAUAAAAUUAUAGCCCAAACUCUUGUUCAAUGUUUUUGGAAGCAGCUCUCUCUCUAAAGUGCAUGGUUUUUUUCUACUUGGGUAAGCCAGAAGUUCAAGUACAACUGGGUGAACAUUUUAGUCUUAGCUUAACCUCUACUGUUAGACAGAGUCUGGAAAGCUAUCAGCUAUUGCUCAAGAAAAGGUCAAAAAUAUCUGGCAAAAAGACUGAAUUCUUUCUUGCUGGAUAUAGAGGUUGAUCCAAGUCCAGCCAAAACAACACCAAAAAUAUCUUGCAAGAAAUGCUAAAUAAAGAGGGAAGUAUCUUAAAAACAUAAAUUAUUACAGCAGUCAGAUUGGAGGGAGAAAUCUACCUGCUUUUUUUAAUCAUCUCUGGUAUUAACUUUACCCCUGAAAAGGUGAGACCUUUUGGAGACUUCAUGAGAGUCGUGCCCAUGGGCUGCAGCUACCCACAGCUCAGUAGGCCACCAUGGCCUCACUGCCUGCGCCCUCAUGUCCCUGUGUCCCAUCCAUCACUCCCCAACGCUGUUUCCCAGGAUGGUUGCGCACAAUGGAGAAUUUGCCAGAGAAUUAAAAUCCCCUGUGCUUCUGCUCUCCAGGGCCUCAUUCUUCCCCCAUGAGCCCCAGUGAUUCCCUGGGGUAACAAAGAGCUGCUUUUUUUUUUUUGGUUUCUGAACAAGUUCUCCUGCCCAUCCCUCCCCCGGGUUGCUUUAGAUGCUGGUGACUGCCCACACAUGCAGAAAGCCACAGAUUAUUCCAGCAGAACCCUCUUCCUUCCCACAGCACCCCUCCUCUUUCUGUAGGGCCAUACUGUAACAUGCAAAUUAUUUUAAAAAUUAAUUAAUAUUAUGUCUUUUAGCCAUGCCUAUCAUCACCAACUUCAGGCCUCUGGUUUCCAGAGAUCUGCUUUUGACUUCAUGGUAUCACAUUGACAGAGAAUCUAUAGACAACAGAAAAGCUUCCUAAUGCAAAAAAUGUUGCUUGCUAUUAUCAGGAUUUUCAAUAAUUAUUAGCUAAUCUGUGAUUCACUGUGAUGCACUUCACCAGAGUCUCAUUAGCCAAACAAUCCUGCCUAAAUCAUCCAUAAAAUAAGGCCAUGAAGUUGGACUUUAAAAGAUGCCUUCCCUGAUGGCAGAAAGUAUUUUGUACAAAAUCAUAAGCAGCAGCGAGGAAUCAUCACCCGUAGGAUAAAAUUAUAUUCUAUCAAGCAGAUAAUGUAAUACUGAUAUGAGAUGAAGCACGGUAAGGUUAUGCCUUUGAAAGCCAACUAGGAGUUCCCCAUUCAAAGUUAUCUUUGAAAUUUUGGGGGUAGUGUUUAUAGCAAAAGCUGUGUGUGCCACCCAGGAAGAAAAUGGAAAACAUUCUGGUGAGGUUUUGGCUUUCAGGAGGAGGUCUCAGAGAUACAGCCACAUAGUUCAGGCAGUGCAAAGCAGCCUCUCUCCAGUGCAGUGAUCAUCCCCAGAGGGGUGGUCUUUGUCCCUGUGCCUAUUGCCCUCAUGCCGAGUAAGCAAGGCAGGCUCAGCGCCGGCAUGCCAUGGCUGGCGCUGGCAGCAAGGAGCAGGACUGGUGCGCCUCACUCCCCAGGUAUGCAAAAGUGCUUCUGACAUUUCUUCCCAUUUGUUAGAGCAACCAUCUGCCCAACGGACUUGUUCUGAGGUGUAAAGCACAGCUCAGAGAGUCUUUACUGCUAAGAAAUAUGCAAUAAAAAUAGGUAGAAAACAUCUUAUGUAGAGCUUUCAUAGACAGAAUAAUAAUGCUGGGAAAACAGACUGAACUUCCACAUAUGGUGGCUUAAGUUGGAAGUACUGGAAUAGACCGUAAGUACACACAUAGCUGUAAGAAAAAUACUGAUUUUGCUGGAAUAGAAAAUUCUAAUCAGUGCUUAGUGUUCAUCUGUUAACAGUAUAAUGGCUGAAUUCUUCCUGGUUAUCACUGCAGUUAACAUCUUCAUAACUGGUUUCCAGUUUCUUCCUGAAAACCUGAACUCCACAGUAGCAGAAACUAGUGAGUGGUAGCAGGAUCACUGCUGCAUGCAAAGAGUUCUACAGGAGAACAUAUAUCAUAGUCAACGUUAUACAGGAUUAUGAGGAUUAUCUCCUAAAAAAGAUCAAAAUAAAGCAGACCUUCUGAACAAUGGAAAACGCUAUCUCUAACUAGCAGAGUUGUCAAUUUAUUUAAACAAAUAUCUAUUUUUACAUGGCGGGUUAAUCACAGAUUAGUGAAGUAAAAGCUUUAAUAUUUAAGUAGCUGUAAAUAUUUGAAUUCUAGCAUUUUUAUAGAGUUUUUACUGUUUAUUUCAAAUACCUUUCUGCUUAUUCAUAUGAUUUAUUCUGUGCCUAAUCAAAUAUAUACCUUAUUCUCCUUUCUGUUCGUUCAAUACGCUUAAGAUGAGCACUGAACUGAGCAGGCUGUAGGUCCCUGGGGUUGGGACAGAACGUGCUCUGGCACAGCUGGGCUAGAGCUGCAGUCCCCCAGCACCGUGACUGCUGCCCACUGGGUGGUUACACUGCCUGCCAGCUCAAAUACCUCACAGAUGACAUCCAUACAGCCUGACUCCCAGAAACACAAAUUAAUUCCUAGCAUGCUAUAAAGCCUGUCCUUUCCAAUUCACCUGGAUACCUGCCUCUGCGUUUGAAUGACUGCCUGCAGUGAACUAGACAUGACUGAAUUACAUCCUGGAAAUAAUCAUUCUGCUCAAAAAUUUUCACCAUGUAGAAGGCUUAAAUUAGAGCAAAGUCACAUCUGAGCAUCAGGACUCUUACCCACAAGGAAGGGAGAAGUAUAUUUAUGCACCAAAUUUUAUUACCUACAUGUUAUCACCUAAAUUAGCCUCCUGACAAUCAGUAGAGCUUUCACAGGGAUGAUUUUAAGUCAGACAUAUGUUUAUCCUUAACAGGAGCCACCUUGAACAAAUGUAUAUUGCAUUUUUUUUCUAAAACUCUACAAAUAGAACUAUUUGUCCACUAAACACUUUGUUAGAACUAUUUGCUCGCCUCUAAGGAUUCAUUUCAUUAAGCUCUUUCAUCUCAGAUUCUUUUCCAGGAUGCUUUUGCAGAUUAAUUGCUGGAACUUAUGUAUUUUGACAGAGGUCAUUACCAUUAUUUUAAAUUAGCAAAGUGUAUUUAAAUUUUUGUAAAAUUCAGACUCUCCUGAACGUUUCCUUGAACGUUUCCAUAUGUUCAAUACCUCUUAUGAGUAUUGGACUUUGUCUAUAGCCAGUAUUUUCUGCCCACUCUCUUUCCACCUGACAAGCUCCUAUCUGCUGAAAAUUGAUUAGUUACCACUCUGUAAUACACAACUUCUAAUCUACACGUACCAAAUGUGCUGCUGAGGUUAAGUUUUGCUAUUCCCUACUAGAAUCUAUACAAAGGUGUGUUCUGCUGACAAAGAAACCCCCUGUCAGAAGUUGACUAGUUCAGAUCUUGGGAGAAGGGAAGUGAGAAGGGCUUAGUUUUAAUCUAAUUUCCCUGAGAACAUUGAGAAAAACAUCAGAGUCUGCACAUGAAGCAUGUGGAAUCAAGUGCAAUCUGCCUUUCAGUUCCCAUCUUCUCUCCUUUGCUUGUGGCAGCACCUCCUCUUCUGGUGCCACAACCUCUUUGGAGAAUGAGAGGCUCCUAUACCUGGACCAUUUGUGACCAAGGAAGUGACUUAAAUCCCAUAAAUUCUUGGAAUGUUGUUGGUCCUUUGGGGCUAUGCAACUCUUUCUCCUUUGAGAAAAAUUGCCUUAGGCUUGUGGGCUGCAGGAAAGUUACCCAACAGAAAAUUCAUCCUGGCCACGAUCAGGGUCCAAACUUCCCAGCCAGAAGUCAAGAAGCAGAGAGAGGCAUCACUCACAUCUAUCAGUUUCUCAAGUCACUCUCUGUAGCAGUCCCUAUUUCUAAGCUCUGAACAUAGCCCUUCACAAGUGACUGCCACCAUCUGCCAGAUAUACCCACUGACUGGUUUAUUUCAUUUUUGGGGAUAAGCUGUUCAAUUUUCUGGAUGGGUUUUUCUUCAGUCUGAUUCCUUCCUACCAUGGCCAUAAAAUGUUCAUUUAUCAAUAGGCCAUAACCAAACUUCCACAGUGUCACGUCCCAGAUCAGCACUUAUUCCUCCAUGUGCAUUAGCCCUGCAGCUUUCUGAGUACAGUGAGCACUGAGGAAACAUGAGCAAGUAAUUGAUCCUGCUUGAACAAAAUAGUAAUUUCAUUUCUAAUUUAGGAGCCAUAGUCACCGACAGUCUUACUGAAACAGUGGGUAGUGGGUUGAUUCACCAAUAUACUGAAAAGAUACAUUACUGAUUAAAGGCUGAUGUGCUGACUGAAAAAUAUACAUCCUCUCACAUGCCCUUCUCCAUUCCACAAAUGCACACUGCAAUGAGAAGGGUGUGGAGGUGCCCCCCUCUCAGGCAGGCUGCUGCAGAGGUGUUCUGCUGGCAUCCCCAUCCAGGCUGCUUUCUCCCAGUGCCAGGGUUGCUGGGAAGAAUGGGAACAGAAGAGGGAAUCUGGCCCAAAGUUUCUUUUUAUUUCAUAUAAAGAAAAGUAAUAUAAAUUAUUAAGUCAGAGCACCUAAUUCAUCUGUACAGGAUGACGUCAGGUGUUUCGGCUGAUAAAUGAAGACAUCGACUUAUUAGCCUAGUUUUGGCAGAAUUAUUAAGAGCAUGUUUACAUUCAAGCUCAUUAAGGGAGACAUCUAAAACCAGAAGCAUCCAAAAGUAAUGGAUGCUUUUUGAAAUGGUUGGCUUCAAUCAGUUGUGUUGCAUUCUUUUAUUAAGUGGAUAGGUUUUUGUGGUUCAGGCAGAGAGCAGCUGCAGAGUUCCUUAAAAAAUAAAAAUACAGUCUUGAGCUGUAAAGGAAAAUUAAUUAAAUACUUAGAAGCCUUUCUGUGUGCCAGCCCAGAUAUGCUGUGUUUAACACAAGAUGUUUCUGCCUAAUAUGAUUUUCUGUGUUCUGUGUGUUUUAUAUAUAACAUUCUUUUUCUACUUGAACUUUUUUUUUUCUUGAACUCUUUCUUUUAUGAUCUAGUAUUAAUUGGAAAGAUGGGGUUCCUGUACAUUUUCUGAUUGCACUGAUUUAACAGAAGUCAUGAUUUUGGCUUUAUCCACUAGCCAGAUUCACAGCGUCAACACCUUUUCUCUCGCUAUCUCACUCACUCAUGAUUCAAAGACGCAGUACACUGGAAUGCUAUGUACUUAAAUCCCUAACUGACAGUUGCAGUAACUCACAUCCAUUUGGAGUAUUACUCUAUGUUCUCACAGCUUAAGUGGCAUUUAUAAAGGUAUUUAACAUAGAAAAUCUUAUAAAUAAUUUAAAGCACAACAACUCUGAAUACUGAGUAUCUAUAAAUAUAUUAGAGAGAGAAGAGACAGAAAUAAAAUGUAUUUUAUGUUAAACUGUUAUUAAAACAAACAGUCCUGGCAGAAGGCCCACAGGUGAGCACAGGAAGGUUACCCCCCCCGUACCUGGAUAAUCAUUGUGGUGAGGCCAGGAAACAGAGGCCAUUGUACUGCAGAGGAUGCUGCAAGUCCUGCUGGCUCAGCUUUCUUCCUCACUUCUGCAAGAGCAGUAUCCUCUCUGCCAUAGCAGCUUGUUUCUGUGAGCUAUGUAGCAGCCAAAUCAGAAAACCUAAUGCAGCAGUGUUUAAUAAAAAAAUUUUUCAUACUAAAUUUAGCUUCAGGUCUUGACUGGAGGAAUGCUAGAGAUGACUUCUUAACAGCAACAUUUUCUUCUUCCAAUAGUUCAUCAAAUAUUUAUUAUAAAUAAAUAAUUUUAAAAAAGGAAAAUAAAUCAAUGCAUUCUAAGCAAAUAAAACUCAUUGCCCCACCUCUAGUUCAGGUCUUAUUUGCUUAGUAUCUGUGAUGAUGAAGUAAUUAUACUAGUUGUCCAGUCAUCCAUUGAGUCUCUCUUGAAAAACUGGAUGGAUGUGACUUGAAUUUCUAAUUCUUUUGAUUUUCUAGAUUUAUACUACUGGAGAGCAUAGCAUGAUGUGAUCCUGGCAAUGCAAAUAAUGAAAAGGAAAGGAGAAACAAUCUUAGGUUUUUUAAAAGUAAAGCAAAUUCUCCAGUUUCACACAUGGAAAACAUGUAUCCUUCUUUAAAACCUUGCACAGUAGGUUCAUCUCACCCUUUACUUUAGGAGCUGGCAGAUUGCUGAGGCAUUUAUAUUGCAGGUCACAGAGAAACACUUGGAGAACUGAGGCCUAAGCAUUUAAGAAGUUGCUGCAGAUCUUGUCUGAUCUGUUGGUUUCUUAUAUGGAUUUUUUUCCAUAUGAAGUGCUGAGAGUUCUUUGAGGUCAAAUAUAUGUCAAUUUUCUGUGUGGGAGGUGUUACUAGUUUCUGUUAGCCCAGUGGGAAAUACAAGGUAUUACCUAACUCAGUGGUGCUCUCUCUUGGACUUAACAUUCUUUGUUUUAGUAACAUUUUUAACAGUAGCAUUCUUCUUUCAGUCUUUAUUAAUAAUAUUUUGUCUUCAAUUCCCCAUUAAUAAUACCACUUUAAGAAUGUGAUAAAUCAGGAUGUUGGUAAACAAUUGUUAAAAUUAUUUUGUAGACCCAAAUGUGGAGCAUUUUUUUGAGUUUUGUCAACAUUUGUAUUUCUUCCAAAGGAUGAUUAUAUUACUUCUUCCCCAGAAGAGGGACAAGUGUUAAUUUAUAAUCUAUAAAAUAUUAUUUUAUAAUAAUGAUCUUUAAAAUAUAAGAUAUUACAAGAUGGUGAUCUGAUAAAGUUUUUAAAGAUCCCGGUGUAAGUUAAAGGCAAAUAUGUUACUCAAAGAGAAUAACCACAAUAUGUAGGUAGAGACACUUCAGAGGCAAGCAAUACUCGCCUCCAUACCACCAGGCACUGCUGGCCUCUCUGGGAGUCAGAGCUUCUCAUGGUAAUGUUGAAGCUUGGCUGCUUCCCUGUAUUUAGUAUACUUCUGCAAAGCAGAGUAUUUUUUUAUCAUUCCCAAGACUGAGCUGAGCUGGCUUUUACUCUGCUGCUCUGCCUCUGGGUGAUCCACCUCAUUCAAGCUCUUCCCAAUAAAUUUACUAUAUCCCUUUUUGUAUGCAGGGUUGCACUGAGCAGUGGAGGUGCAGCAGCUCUCAUCUGCUGCAGGAUGAGCUGCUGAAUGGCAACCCCACAUGCUGACUGGACUUGACAGAUGACAAUUUGUAUAUAUUGUCUUCUCUUGCCAUCUUAUACUCCUAAGUGUUAUGCAGCCAGCAUCGUGCCUUUUAUUAAAAAAGGCUAUAUGCCUUAAUUUUCAGAUAAAUUUUACAGUGUGGAGUAAUCUGGUUUUCUGACUGCUCUUGAUUUAAUUGCAAGCACGGUGUACUAAAGGAUGAGCUACUGUUACAUCAUUAUGAAUAUAGUAUGUUGCCUUCUCUUUCUGUAUGUUCUUGCAUGAGUACCUUAUACUGUUAGAUUGUUUAACAAAGAAUAUCAGAUAAGAAAGCUAAAGAAAGUAGAAACUAAAGGCAAUUAAAAAUGCAUUUGCUGCAUUAGGUGUGAACUGUGCCUAGCCAGAAUGCAGAAGUGUGCGUUCUACCUUAAUCUGUUUCAUGGAAAGUAAAAUGACACUUUUUCGUGGAAAUGCCACUUGUCCAGAGUAAGGAUGAAAAAAGCAAAGAGAUAGCACAGUCUGACAGUUUUAAGCCUGAAUUUCCUAAUAUAAGACCAAUCAGUUCUUUCUCAAUCACUGUGUUAGACUUCAGCCUAUCACCUGGAUCCUGGAAUAACUUCAAGACAGUGCAGCCCACUGCUUGCAGAUGGGAAAUAGGAAGGUCAUCAUGUAUAUUGAAAACAAUCCAGACAUUUGAACUUGCAGCUUCUAUGACCUUUUACAGACUUCUUAUGAGAGCACAGAUAUGCUGUCAAUUUGGUUUGGGCCUGAUCAGGACUGGAAUUUCGCGGGUGGGGAGAACGAAGGAAAAAUGCAAUUAUACCUCUGGAUUUGAUGUUAAACCAGUGACAUUUUAAAGGCAACCAGGCUAGAAGUUGCCAACCUGUUGUGAGCUACUCUGAGGAAGAAGCUCCACAGUGAAAGUCACUGUGGUGGAAGCAGAGAUGUGAACAUUUUAGCACCUCUCUCUCUUGCUUUUUUUUUUGUUUGUUUACAUCCAAUAUUCACUUCUGCCCCUCACCAAUUUUCUGCAGUUUUCAGAAGCAGGUCAGCAUGUCAUCAGCAUAUUCAUGUUCCUGGGGAGACACUCUGAGCCCCAGAGUUUGCUUGAACGCUGCCUGUGAACUGCAAGCAGCAGCGCUGCCUGCUCCACUGCAGGAGCGCAGGGGCAGGACUGCCCUCCACUUUCACAAUUUACUUUCUAUCAGUAGGGGCAAAACUGGCCCCUGUGACUAUGAAAACGUGUCAGUCUAAUAAAAAAAUGAGGGAACAAAAAAACCUGACAAAAAUCUAAGAAUAGAGUCCUGAACAGGACUUAUUUCUGACAGAGGAUUUAGGGCAGUAAUUAACGUUGCUUAAAUAUGGUAGGAAUACCAUGUCACAUCAAGUAUAUUACACUGCUUCUACACCAAGUCAAAGUACAUUUCAUUGUAUAUGCUUUGUAUGUGUAACACUGGAUAUUUUUGCAGCUUCGUCCUUUUUAAAGGUGACCUGCACUGUUUUAAUUUCUGAAUGCAUUAAUUCCAAACAGCAGGGUAUGAAUUAAAGGCUCCUCAAGCAUCCAUUAGUAUUUUGGUUAUUAAAAAUUAGUAAAAAUCUUGCUAGGUGGCCGGGCCCAAAAAGUGGUGGUGAAUGGAGCUAAAUCCAGCUGGUGGCGAGUCACAAUUGGUGUUCCCCAGGGCUCAGUGUUGGGUCAGUUCUGUUUAACAUCUUUAUCAGUGAUCUGGAUGAGGGGAUCAAAUGCGCCCUCAGUAAGUUUGCAGAUGACACCAAGUUGGGUGGGAGUGUUGGAUCUGCUUGAGGGUAGGAUGGCUCUACAGAGGGGUCUGGACAGGCUGGUUCAAUGGGCUGAGGCCAAUAGUAUGAGGCUUAACAAGGAUCAGUGCUGGUUGACAGCCGGCUGAAUAUGAGCCAGCAGUGUGCCCAGGUGGCUAAGGCAGCCAACAGCAUCCUGGCUUGUAUCAGGAAUAAUGUGGCCAGCAGGAGCAGGGAAGUGAUCAUGUCCCUGUACUUGGCACUGGUGAGGCCACACCUUGAAUAUUGUGGUCAGUUUUGGGCUCCUCACUACAAGAGGGCCAUUGAGUUGCUGGAUUGUGUCCAGAGAAGGGCAACAAAGCUGGUGAAGGGUCUGGAGAGCAGGUCUUAUGAGGAGAAGUUGAAGGAACUGGGCUUGUUUAGUCUGGAGAAGAGGAGGCUGAGGGGAGGCCUCAUUGCUCUCUACAACUACCUGAAAGGAGGUUGUAGCGAGGUGGGUGUUGGUCUCUUCUCCCAAGUAAAAAGUGGUAGGACAAGAGGGAAUGGCCUCAAGCUGUGCCAGGGGAGGUUUAGGUUGGAUAUUAGGAAAAAUUUCUUCAGUGAAAUUGUUGUCAAGCAUUGGAACAUGCUGCCCAGAGAAGAGGUUGAGUCAUAAUCCCUGGAGAUAUUUAAAAGAUGUGUAGAUGUGGCGUUUAGGGACAUGGUUUAUUGUUGGACUUGGCAGGGCUAGGGUAAUGGUUGGACUUGAUGGUCUUAAAGGUCUUUUCCAACCUAAAUGAUUCUAUGAUUCAAAUAAUGGAGAUGCUAGUCAUUUAAAAAAAUUACAGGGAGAAAUAUUCUUAAAUGUCACCAGCUACACAGUGCUGGAAUUGCUUAUGGGAUUUCAUGAGUUGCUAUAAAACAUGGCCCAGCAAAAGCAAAAGCAGUCAGCAUUACCAGUCCUGUUAAGUCUCAGUGUCUGCUUAUUGUGCCAGAUACUCAUCCGCUGUUAAUCAUCAUCGCCUCCUGAGGUCAGCAAUACUCCUGCAUUUCAUAACAAAGGAGGAUUUGGGCUAACAGUGGAAUAUACGAAUGGGACUAAGAGAUGACUGUCCCUUCAGGAGGAAUUAUGCUGGUUUCAUUCAAUGGUCCAUCCAGACUCCUUCUGGCUUCCCUGGAAAAGUGCUCAUGAGCCAGGAAGGGGACUUCAGAGUUUCUCCCAGCCACCAUCCCCUCAGGGAUGGCUUAGGGAUGAAGUCACAUGGAUAAAGUGAUGAAGAAUCCUGCUGCCAGAACAAAUGCUGCUGUGAAUCUUCUCUACUGAAAUCUGAUUUGGAAGUGGAAAGCUGUGGAAAUGCCAUAGGAUUUCUCCAUCAAAAACCAAUUUCAGUUUGCCUAGGAGUAAAAUAUCAUUAGCUAUCUGCCACUUAAUCUAAUAUCUGAGUGACAGUUACACCAAAAAAAAAUACGGUCAUCAAAACACAGUCUUUACUUUAAGCACCUGAAUAGUUUCCCUGAUUUCACGAGAAUCGCUGGUGUGGAUGAUGCUGCAGGAUCAGAAACUGCAAAGGGAGCUUCUCACUGUGGUAUUCCUGCUGUUCAUCACCUGUUCGGGGUAUGAGUGUAGCAAGGUGAUAGCUUCUGCACUGUAGAAGUCCCUUUUGCUGGCAGGAUUAAAUUAAUAAAUGGCUACAAAUGUUAUGAUCCUAAGACCAAAAUGAUUUGCACAGAGUACCUGCUAGUUGGUGUAGAGCACAAUAGUCCCCCAUUAUAAUUUUAGUAGAAGAGAAGAACAAAAAGAGAGUCUUGUUAUUACUCUAACUUAAGACUCUGAAAAACACCUUUGUGUUCCUAAUUCCUGACUUUAAUUGACUACAAAGAUAUCAGCGCUUCAGUGUUCAGCUGCUACAUAUCAAUCAAAUUUGGUGGGUAGUAAAUACAGUAAAACUGAAGGUUUAAUGCUAUACAUCGAGAGACAUAUUUGAGCUAAAACUCUUCACUUCAGCAGCACUAUUACUACAAUAACAGCCUUAGAUUUAUUAAAAUAGAACUAGGUCUAAAUGCAAUGGCCUUUCCUUUUAAUUUUUAUUACUUAUUUUUUAUAUCUAUGAAACAAAACUCACUUAAUAUGAACUGGGUAUUUUUACAUUCCAAGCCUUUAUAAUUUUCACAAUGCUGUUAUUUCAGCAGGAAUUUUUAAACAUCAAUUUUAAUAAAAACAGUUUUUCAAAUAUUCAAAAUAUGAUUUGUCACUAGGAAUUUGAUACAAAAAUUACUUCUGUUUUGAUUCUGUUUACCUAUUAGGAGUUUUCUAACCCAUCCUGCUGCGGAAGGCACAAAGCCUCACUGGCAGAGGACCCAGCUAACCCAUUCUUGAGAUGUGACUGAAGGACUGCCACUGCUGAGUGGAGUGGCUGCUAGAGUUAACUUCCUCAGAAGUCUUCAUGCAUCCAACUUUGCAUUCUGGUACAGAAUGAAGACAUUAAAAAUAAACGGAAAUGUUCUGCAGAUCAUAAAACACACUUCCCAUGCCAUCCCAGUGAUUAAAUGAAGUUGCGGCUGAAUAAAAUGGUGACUUUUAAUGAAAUUUCAGGGAAAAAAGGCACAGAUUUUAGAAAGGCACCUCAAAUUUAUUAAAAUACAGCUCCCUCACAUUACUUACUGCAAAAAUCAAACUUGCUUGUGAUCGUAACUCACUGUAAUGACUUUACAGACUUGACUCUUGAUCGCUUCUAUUUUUUAAUUGGGACAUUUGCCUGAGAAACAGCUGAUCCACAGAAACAUUCUCUUUUUAUGAUACUGUAUUCCAAAUCGAUAGUGGGGGCUGUCUUCCUUAAUGUAUUUUAACAAGUAGUAAACAUAGCAAGUUUGGAAGCCUGACAGCAACUGAAUAGUUAACUUCGGGCACGCACCCUGAGAGGAGAGCCAGGCGCGCCCGCAAAGAGCAGGUCGCUGCUCUUCUUUCAAGUGCGUCGUAGUUGGGCCUAAAGUGAGUCUGGGGUCUUGAGAAAAG